CGGAUCGGAGUCUGCAACCCGACUCCGUGAAGCUGGAUUCGCUAGUAAUCGCGCAUCAGCCAUGGCGCGGUGAAUACGUUCCCGGGCCUUGUACACACCGCCCGUCAAGCCAUGGAAGCCGGGAGUGCCUGAAGUGCGUGACCGCAAGGAGCGUCCUAAGGCAAUACCGGUGACUGGGGCUAAGUCGUAACAAGGUACC
rnacentral:rRNA from 1 species